AAGUCGUAACAAGGUUUCCGUAGGUGAACCUGCGGAAGGAUCAUUACAAGAGUAUUUCAGUUUGGCUUUAUGCCCUCUGAAAAUCUCCACCCUUUGUUUACAUUACCUUUGUUGUUGCCUCGGUGGGUGCUUUUAUGGCACCUGCCGGCAGACACCUUCAAAAACCCUUGAUUUAAUACUAUAGUCAGAGCUGUAACAAGCAAAAGAUUAAUAAAUCAAAACUUUCAACAACGGAUCUCUUGGUUCUG
rnacentral:misc_RNA from 1 species